GUUUUCUCUCCCACAGACCCUCGUGGUGCAGCAGAGGGCAGCUGGGGUGCGGGAGGAGGUGGGAGGGUGAGGCUGCGGCCAGCAGGAGCCGGGCCUCAGGGUGCCAGCCUGGACCGGGAGCAUGUGCUGGGGGCUUGCUUUCCGCAAUCAGGCACUUUUUCAAGUUGGUCCUGAACGGUUCUGGACUGGAUGGCAGGCUGCUGUGUGUGAUUGAGAAUGUUGCCUGUCUGAGCCCUGAGAUGAGCUGAGGGUUCCUCCUCCCCAGCCAGCGCCAGCCUCACACAGCCCUUGUAAAUCUGAAAGUGCUGUUGGUAGCAACCAGGGAUGGGCAGAGGCAGCCCUGUCCUGAGGGUGACAUGAAAGUGAGAGCAAGCUGAAGCUCCAGUUGGCUUAGUCUUCAAAAGUGUCACUUUCAGAUUAUAUCCCUCAGCUUUAAAAUGUCCUUCUUUGAAGUCCAUCCUGCUCCGCCCACUAUUUGUCCCCGGUGGUCACUUCCUCCUCUGUGCUCCCAUGGCCUGGGAUUCACACCAGGAAAGAACGCCACGAAGAAGGAAUGGGUGAAGGACUUUAGUACGAUGGUCAAGACAAGAACCGUGGAGUCAGAAUGCCUGCAUGCAGAUCUCAUCAUCAUGGAGUCUCGCUGUGUCGCCCAGGCUGGAGUGCAGGGGUGUGAUCUCAGUUCGCUGCAACCUCUGCCUCCCAGGUUCAAGUGAUUCUUCUGCCUCAUCCUCCUGAGUAGCUGGGAUUACAGGUGUGAGGUAUCAUGCCUGGCCCAAGAUUUACUUUAUUUGAUAUUAAUAUAGCCACAUCUGCUUACUUUUAAAAUUAAUGUCUGCAUGGCAUAUUAUUUCCAUUCCUUAAUUUCCAAUUUACCUCUAUCAUUAUAGGUUACCCACUGAUGUAGCUUUAGCAGCUGCUGCCCCAGUUCUCAAAUAUCCAGGCUAGCUUGGUGGCCCCUUUAUCCAUGGGUCAUUUAUUUAAUCCACUCUGCCAAUCCCUGCCUUUAAUUAGUGUUUUUAAACCAUUUACAUUUAAUGUAAUUAUUCAUAGUUUAAUCUGAUGUCUGUUAUUUUAUUUUUUGUCUUCUCCUUAUUUUCUGCUUCUUUUUUGCUCUUGUCUUUCUUGUCUUGUUUUUUCUCUUCCCUUUAACAUUUUUUAGAUCUCCUUUUGAUUAAUUUAUAGAGUUUUUGAUUAUAUCUCUUUGUAUGAACUUUUUAGUUAUUACUCAAAUAUCACAUUUUGUAUUUAUAACACAGGCUACUGAUGUUGACAUUUUAACAGUUCAAGUGAAGCGUAGAAAUCUUACCCAUUAUCCCUCCCUAUUAAUAAUAUAAUUGUCUUAAAUAUCUUUUCCUACAUAUAUUUAUAAGAAGUAUAUGAGAUAGCCUUACAAUUUUUGCUUUAACUAUCAAUCAUGAAUUAGGAAACUCAAGAAGAAAGGGAAAUGUAUUUAUUCAUAUUUUCACUCUUUUUAAAAUGAAUUUCAUAAAAUCUAGAUUGGCAAAUUUAGAAAUAAAAUUUCUAAAUGUUGUCAUGUC